rnacentral:rRNA from 1 species
GAUGAACGCCGGCGGUGUGCCUAAUACAUGCAAGUCGAGCGCACUGGCCCAACUGAUAUGACGUACUUGCACUGAAUUGACGUUGGAUUCCCAGUGAGCGGCGGACGGGUGAGUAACACGUGGGCAACCUGCCCUGAAGCGGGGGAUAACAUCUGGAAACAGAUGCUAAUACCGCAUAACAACGAAAACCACAUGGUUUUCGUUUCAAAGAUGGUUUCGGCUAUCACUUCAGGAUGGGCCCGCGGUGCAUUAGCUAGUUGGUAAGGUAACGGCUUACCAAGGCGAUGAUGCAUAGCCGAGUUGGGAGACUGAUCGGCCACAAUGGAACUGAGACACGGUCCAUACUCCUACGGGAGGCAGCAGUAGGGAAUCUUCCACAAUGGGCGCAAGCCUGAUGGAGCAACACCGCGUGAGUGAAGAAGGGUUUCGGCUCGUAAAGCUCUGUUGUUGGAGAAGAACGUGCGUGAGAGUAACUGUUCACGCAGUGACGGUAUCCAACCAGAAAGUCACGGCUAACUACGUGCCAGCAGCCGCGGUAAUACGUAGGUGGCAAGCGUUAUCCGGAUUUAUUGGGCGUAAAGCGAGCGCAGGCGGUUGCUUAGGUCUGAUGUGAAAGCCUUCGGCUUAACCGAAGAAGUGCAUCGGAAACCGGGCGACUUGAGUGCAGAAGAGGACAGUGGAACUCCAUGUGUAGCGGUGGAAUGCGUAGAUAUAUGGAAGAACACCAGUGGCGAAGGCGGCUGUCUGGUCUGCAACUGACGCUGAGGCUCGAAAGCAUGGGUAGCGAACAGG